rfam:Shigella dysenteriae Sd197, complete genome.
CUGGAGCUGAUUUAAUGACUCACAUCGUUCGCUUUAUCGGUCUACUACUAAACGCAUCUUCUUUGCGCGGUAGACGAGUGAGCGGCAUCCAGCAUUAAGCCAGCACGCAGUCAAACAAAAAACCCGCGCCAUUGCGCGGGUUUUUUU